GCAUGACCAUAAUUGAUGCAUUUGCUUGUCUUGUCAGGGGAGCAGAUGUGCGCCAAACUCAGUCAACCAUAGCCAACUCCGGCGCGUGGGGAAAGCGGAAAUCAGAUGGACGCUUUUGUUCCUCGCGGUGCGUGACGCGUGUUGAUUAGGGAAGCGUACACUAUGUGCAAGACUCACAUUUUGGCGUAGACUGCUGCGGCACAACCGGACAUCUUUAUCACCCCAACCGGUGUCCAGGACGAACAGACAUACUGCCUUGCCCCUAACAGAAUGGCCACAGGCAUAAUAUUACAUGAUACAGAACCCUUGGGUCACUGACACCUGUGACUGCUGGACGUCUGUAGUGACUGCUGGACGCCUGUAGUGACUAGCAUUAUGGGAUGUGGCACCUCCGUCACCACCGACAACAAGGGGAGGAGACUGACAACAGACAAGACGGCCAAGAACACUUCCAGCCCUGCACU